rnacentral:rRNA from 1 species
GACGAACGCUGGCGGCGUGCUUAACACAUGCAAGUCGAACGGAAAGGCCCUGCUUUUGUGGGGUGCUCGAGUGGCGAACGGGUGAGUAACACGUGAGUAACCUGCCCUUGACUUUGGGAUAACUUCAGGAAACUGGGGCUAAUACCGGAUAGGAGCUCCUGCUGCAUGGUGGGGGUUGGAUAGUUUCGGCGGUUGCGGAUGGACUCGCGGCUUAUCAGCUUGUUGGUGGGGUAGUGGCUGACCAAGGCUUUGACGGGUAGCCGGCCUGAGAGGGUGACCGGCCACAUUGGGACUGAGAUACGGCCCAGACGCCUGCGGGAGGCAGCAGUGGGGAAUAUUGCACAAUGGGCGGAAGCCUGAUGCAGCAACGCCGCGUGCGGGAGGACGGCCUUCGGGUUGUAAACCGCUUUCGCCUGUGACGAAGCGUGAGUGACGGUAAUGGGUAAAGAAGCACCGGCUAACUACGUG